rfam:Triticum aestivum genome assembly, contig: Triticum_aestivum_CS42_TGACv1_scaffold_223361_3B
UGUCUACUCCCUCCGUUCGGAAUUACUUGUCUUGGAAAUGGAUGUAUUUAAAACUAAAAUAUGUCUAGAUACAUGCAUUUUCACGACAAGUAAUUCCGAACGGAGGGAGUAACAU